rnacentral:lncRNA from 1 species
GGGAGAACAACCUGAAGGUAAUUCUCUUUGCACACAACAGCAGCCUCCAGGCCUCCACCGAGUACGGAAGGGAGCCGCAGCUGUUGACUAAGGUAAACAAUGCAAUUGUAGAUAUAAUUAUUACAUAUACUGUAGUCUUUCAAAUUUGUGAUUGACUUAGUGUUGUUGUUUGUCUAUUGCUAUUUUUGUAUAACGUACUUUCAGAUCACUGAAACCCCACCUGAUGUGAUGGAAGUUGUCGAACCAGGAUGUGGAGGUUUUUGACAAGGUGAAACUGAAUAUCGACAGGGCACAGGAGAAACAGAAGGAGAGCUACCGGAGCAGAAUCAAGAAGGGGACCAGGUGCUAUGACAUCCAGGCAAAAAUGGUUACCUCGGUGGAAGCCAACAAUCUUCUACAGUUGGAGCAGUUGGACGGUUGACCACUGAAAGCCCUGACGCCCUACACUUCAGUGAAGCCCAAUAGACAAACCACACCAGAUCCAGUGCGUACGGAUCAGUCUGAUUGUCUGUGCUCUGAGUCGGAGGGGGGACCAGCUUGAGGACCCAGGUGUUCUGCCCAACACCCAGAUGUGGAUCUACCUGAUGUCCUCCAUUACCAACCAUCCUCCAACUUUCAUUACAUAAGUAACAGCUACUGUUGUUGUCAUUAUCUGAUUAAAAGUUUUCUUGCUCUAUCAUACUGGGCACAUAAUAUGUGAGAUACACAGAUUACCUAAAAACAGUAGCACUGCAAACACUCAGAACAAAGAGUGCAGCAGUGCCUGGACUUUGCGGUCUCACUUUUCAAGUCCCCCUUCCGAGAUUGGCUGCCUGUUGAGAACAAGUGACAGACAGAACCGUCGACCCACACAGCAACCACCUCCUCUAUAUUCUACACAACAGAAUUCAGUAUUUUAGUCUAUGAUUGCCAUGUGUGCAAAAAAAUC